UACGAAGGGGGCGAGCGUUGUUCGGAAUUACUGGGCGUAAAGCGCGUGUAGGUGGAUUGGUGUGUCAGAUGUGAAAGCCCUGGGCUCAACCCAGGAACUGCACCUGAAACUACCAGUCUUGAGUGGUGGAGAGGGAAGUGGAAUUCCUGGUGUAGAGGUGAAAUUCGUAGAUAUCAGGAGGAACACCAGUGGCGAAGGCGGCUCACUGGUCCAUUACUGACGCUGAGGUGCGAAAGCGUGGGGAGCAAACAGG
rnacentral:rRNA from 1 species